GAUGAACGCUGGCGGCGUGCUUAACACGUGCGAGUCGAACGAUGAAGCCCAGCUUGCUGGGUGGAUUAGUGGCGAACGGGUGAGUAACACGUGAGUAACCUGCCCUUAACUCUGGGAUAAGCCUGGGAAACUGGGUCUAAUACCGGAUAGGAGCGCCUACCGCAUGGUGGGUGUUGGAAAGAUUUAUCGGUUUUGGAUGGACUCGCGGCCUAUCAGCUUGUUGGUGAGGUAAUGGCUCACCAAGGCGACGACGGGUAGCCGGCCUGAGAGGGUGACCGGCCACACUGGGACUGAGACACGGCCCAGACUCCUACGGGAGGCAGCAGUGGGGAAUAUUGCACAAUGGGCGAAAGCCUGAUGCAGCGACGCCGCGUGAGGGAUGACGGCCUUCGGGUUGUAAACCUCUUUCAGUAGGGAAGAAGCGAAAGUGACGGUACCUGCAGAAGAAGCACCGGCUAACUACGUG
rnacentral:rRNA from 1 species